AGCGCCCUUUGCCGUUCAAAUAUCGAAAUGGCGAAAAGUCUCGUAUCUUCUCUCGGAAGGCGCUAGCUGUUAAAUGAAGAUACAUGUUUUGGAGGAAAGUUGAGCACUGUAAUCCAUUUUGGACUCUUUUUCUAGAUCUGCCUGAACUUUGAGGUCGACACUGUUCCACUCCGGUCCUGCAGAUGGCGUUGAUUAGCUAACCACACAUUUCUACGAGCUUGUCGAGGAGUUUUAUAGGGCCGCGUGGCAUCCAAAGGUGGUCCGAGGGGGUCGUUUGAUGUCAAAGGUCUGCAAUGAUCACAGGAACGUGGAGAAACCCCCACUCCCCGUCAUGGCACAGUGGCGUGAACCAAUCUCAGCCGCCUCUCUAUCAUCCUGCGCCUGUGGACGCCUUCGUCUCCAUCCGUCCAUUAUCCCCGGCUCACUAGUCCGAAAAUGAGGGGGACACUUGGCGCCUCACCACCCCCCCUCUUCUUCUACCUCCUUCCAUUCCUCCCCGUUGACUGGCUGCUAUAUGGAGGGUGACACUGGGCCAAUUCAAUCUGGCGUCUCCCCCCCAGUGAGCCAAAUUGGCCCUUCCCUGCUGCACUUCUGAUGACAUCAAAAAAUGUCACAUUUGUUUGUUUGUUUGUUUUCAGCGGGUUGCAAUAAAAGCUGAUGUGAUGUAUUUGAUCAAAUUCCCCAAGAUAGCGCUCUACAAAAUGGGGCAAAUGCAGACAAACAAUAUAACUAUCCUCAAAGGCAUAUAUUCUUUAUCCUCUUUGGAAAAUGAUUUUUGUUCGUUAAGGAGUUGUUAGUCUUCUCUUUUUUUGUAUGAUUGUAUUAGAUGACCACUCCACCACUGAGCCAUGUACUCCACAAUGUUUUGUUUUUAAUGUGAAUGGCAGUCUAUGUAAAAGAAGUCGCUGCUAAAACUGUGUUGAAAGAUGCAAACAACAUUAAAAAAAAUUCAGU